AAUUUCAGACAUUCCACCUGGAAAACUCCUGAUCUCUGAAACCAAAAACUAAAGACGGUCAGGCCUGGAUAGUACUUUGAUGGGACAUCACCUGGGAAUACCAGGUGCUGUAAGCA
rnacentral:rRNA from 1 species